rnacentral:rRNA from 1 species
UCAUGGCUCAGAUUGAACGCUGGCGGCAGGCCUAACACAUGCAAGUCGAGCGGAAACGAGUUAUCUGAACCUUCGGGGAACGAUAACGGCGUCGAGCGGCGGACGGGUGAGUAAUGCCUAGGAAAUUGCCCUGAUGUGGGGGAUAACCAUUGGAAACGAUGGCUAAUACCGCAUAAUACCUUCGGGUCAAAGAGGGGGACCUUCGGGCCUCUCGCGUCAGGAUAUGCCUAGGUGGGAUUAGCUAGUUGGUGAGGUAAUGGCUCACCAAGGCGACGAUCCCUAGCUGGUCUGAGAGGAUGAUCAGCCACACUGGAACUGAGACACGGUCCAGACUCCUACGGGAGGCAGCAGUGGGGAAUAUUGCACAAUGGGCGCAAGCCUGAUGCAGCCAUGCCGCGUGUGUGAAGAAGGCCUUCGGGUUGUAAAGCACUUUCAGUCGUGAGGAAGGUA